AGCAGCCGCGGUAAUUCCAGCUCCAAUAGCGUAUAUUAAAGUUGCUGCAGUUAAAAAGCUCGUAGUUGAAUUUCGGGACUAAUAUGUCGGUCGUGCCUCGGUACGUACUGGUUUAUUGGUUUCUCCUUUCUGAAGAACCAUGAUGUCAUUUAUUUGGUGUCGUGGGGAAUCAGGACUGUUACUUUGAAAAAAUUAGAGUGUUUAAAGCAGGCUCACGCUUGAAUACAUUAGCAUGGAAUAAUGAAAUAGGACGUUUGAUUCUAUUUUGUUGGUUUCUAGGAUCGACGUAAUGAUUAAUAGGGAUAGUUGGGGGCAUUAGUAUUCAAUUGUCAGAGGUGAAAUUCUUGGAUUUAUUGAAGACUAACUACUGCGAAAAGCAUUUGCCAAGGAUGUUUUCAUUAAUCAAGAACGAAAGUUAGGGGAUCGAAGACGAUCAGAUACCGUCGUAGUCUUAACCAUAAACUAUGCCGACUAGGGAUCGGAUGAUGUUAAUUUUUUAAUGACUCAUUCGGCGCCUUACGG
rnacentral:rRNA from 1 species